AGCACUGGCAGCAAUUUGAGCCUCAGCUGAGCCUAUGGGACGUCUUUGGAGCAAGCAGGGAGGUGGAGGAGCUGCUAGCACAGGGUCUGUUGCUGCUGGACCAUAGGGGUCUCCGGUGUUCCUGGGAAGGUCUAGCUGUGCUGGACUCCCUGUUAUUGACCCUCCUACCUCAACUCCAAGAGGCCUGGCACCACAGGACUCCCCGACUUGUGUCAGGAGGAUGACCAGACACUGCUGAAUCAUGGGGCAACACCAGUUAGGCUUGGAGGGCUGGACCAGCCUGGUGGGCCUCUGCCUGUAGGCGCCAUCCCUGCUUUGAGGUAUCACUGCUUGACUCUGACACCUCCAUGGGAAUGGAUUCGGUCAGUUGGGUGGAAGGCUGUCUCUGUUCCAGGGACUGGUAUUCCACACAGCAUCCCAGGAGUCACAGGUCAGCAUGUGUUCCCUGACUAGGAUGUACUCACCCCCACUGGCUUUUGUUGGCUUUUUUGGACACCAAAUAGCAAGAAAUCUUUAUACAGGGAAUUGUAUCUAUCAGAGAAUGACCCUCCUACCUUUGUGAGAUGUUUACAAAACCAUUUGAGGGGCUGGAGAGAUGGCUCAGUGGUAAGAGCACUGUUUACUCUUCUAGAGGACCAGGGUACAAUUCCCAGCAGCCAUGUGGCAGCUCACAACCAUCUGGAACUCCCAUUCCAGGGGAUCUGACACCCUCUUUUGACCUCUGCAUGUACCAGACACAUAUGUGGUACAUGGAUAUUCAUCCAGGCAAAACUCACAUGCAUAAAAUAAAAAUAAAUUAAUCUUUAAAAAAA